rnacentral:rRNA from 1 species
AACGAACGCUGGCGGCAGGCUUAACACAUGCAAGUCGAACGCACCGCAAGGGGAGUGGCAGACGGGUGAGUAACGCGUGGGAAUCUACCCAUCUCUGCGGAAUAGCUCCGGGAAACUGGAAUUAAUACCGCAUACGCCCUACGGGGGAAAGAUUUAUCGGGGAUGGAUGAGCCCGCUUUGGAUUAGCUAGUUGGUGGGGUAAAGGCCUACCAAGGCGAAGAGCCAUAGCUGGUCUGAGAGGGUGAGCAGCCACAUUUGGACUGAGACACGGCACAAACUCGUACGGGAGGCAGCAGGGGGAAAUAUUGAACAAUGGGCGCAAGCCUGAUCCAGCCAUGCCGCGUGAGUGAUGAAGGCCUUAGGGUUGUAAAGCUCUUUCACCGGUGAAGAUAAUGACGGUAACCGGAGAAGAAGCCCCGGCUAACUUCGUGCCAGCCGCCGCCGUAA